GGACAAGCUCAGUGUCAGUGGUGUCAGUGCUGCGGGUCACCGGGAUGUCUCCCCCGUCAGUUGGAGGUUCGUUGGUGCCAAAUCUGCUGGAGAGCUUCUGGAAGAAUGUCUCCACCUGUAGAACAUCAUGAUAAUGAGCUUUUCCGUCACCUCCAUAGCCAACUGUGCUGCCCCCUGAAGGCCAAAUUGAGGUGAUUUUAAUAGCUUUUCUCAUCUCCUCCUCCACCAGCUUCUCACCCCUGACUGACAGCUCUGCAGGGGAGAAGUGAGAGGAAGGGUGUCCUCUGAGACAUGGCUGGACAGGUCCUCAGCAUCAGCGCUGACGACACCCAGGGUCAACAGGACAACCAAACUGUGCAGGAGCUUCAUCCCGCUGCCGCCGCCGACUCCGGGUCAACAACAGAUUCCUUCUGAAGGACG